AUCAUAAGGGGAUAACACUUGGAAACAGGGGCUAAUACCGUAUAAUAAUCGAAACCGCAUGGUUUUGAUUUGAAAGGCGCUUUCGGGUGUCGCUGAUGGAUGGACCCGCGGUGCAUUAGCUAGUUGGUGAGGUAACGGCUCACCCAGGCCACGAUGCAUAGCCGACCUGAGAGGGUGAUCGGCCACAUUGGGACUGACACACGGCCCAAACUCCUACGGGAGGCAGCACUAGGGAAUCUUCGGCAAUGGACGAAAGUCUGACCGAGCAACUCCGAUUGAGUGAAUAAGGUUUUCGGAUCGUAAAACUCUGUUGUUAGAGAAGAACAAGGAUGAGAGUAACUGUUCAUCCCUUGACGGUAUCUAACCAGAAAGCCACGGCUAACUACGUGCCAGCGGCCGCGGUAAUACGUAUGUGGCAAGCGUUGUCCGGAUUUAUUGGGCGUAAAGCGAGCGCAGGCGGUUUCUUAAGUCUGAUGUGAAAGCCCCCGGCUCAACCGGGGAGGGUCAUUGGAAACUGGGAGACUUGAGUGCAGAAGAGGAGAGUGGAAUUCCAUGUGUAGCGGUGAAAUGCGUAGAUAUAUGGAGGAACACCAGUGGCGAAUGCGGCUCUCUGGUCUGUAACUGACGCUGAAGCUCGAAAGCGUAGCCGAGCAAAC
rnacentral:rRNA from 1 species